rnacentral:rRNA from 1 species
AUGGCUACCCGUCCAAUCCCUGCUUGGCUGCACGGUAGAUGUUGCAGAUGCUUCGCUCCUGGGCAUCGUGCGGUUGACUGCAGAGAUCCGCUUCAGUCCUCCCGUUGCUUGGAGAACAGUCACCGUGCACGCGGAUGCCACAAUCCUUGGCGUCCUCUAAGUUUUUUGGCAUGCCUUGCCAUGCCGCCAGUCCUCGAUUCGAUGCUUCGUCCUGCUCUAGCUUCAUGUAAGGGUGCAAUGAAAUCUGUGCCCCCCUCCAAGGCGCUUCACCAUGGGUCUUGGGCGUCUGUCGUCUCUGCUUCUGUUGGCUCGGCAACCCCGCCUGAUAUGAUGUUGCGGUCCGCUCUAGAUGAUCAGACAACAUUGCUGCAGAGUUGUCUGGCACGGGUUCAGAGCUUUCUGGGGCGGGCAGAGGCUGCUCUUAGCAGGCUCUUCCUUGCACCGGCUAGGUCGCAGACCACUCCAAUGUCAUGCCCUUCUGGUGUGGAAGAUGUUGGCUCCAUGGAGGAAGGGAGGCAAUAG